rnacentral:rRNA from 1 species
CCUACGGGUGGCUGCAGUGGGGAAUAUUGGACAAUGGGCGAAAGCCUGAUCCAGCCAUGCCGCGUGUGUGAAGAAGGCCUUCGGGUUGUAAAGCACUUUCAGUGGGGAAGAAAGCCUUGGGGCUAAUACCCUCGAUGAAGGACAUCACCCACAGAAGAAGCACCGGCUAACUCCGUGCCAGCAGCCGCGGUAAUACGGAGGGUGCGAGCGUUAAUCGGAAUUACUGGGCGUAAAGCGCGCGUAGGCGGUCUGAUAAGCCGGUUGUGAAAGCCCCGGGCUCAACCUGGGAACGGCAUCCGGAACUGUCAGGCUAGAGUGCAGGAGAGGUAGGUAGAAUGCCCGGUGUAGCGGUGAAAUGCGUAGAGAUCGGGAGGAAUACCAGUGGCGAAGGCGGCCUUCUGGACUGACACUGACGCUGAGGUGCGAAAGCGUGGGUAGCAAACAGGAUUAGAUACCCCAGUAGUC